rnacentral:rRNA from 1 species
GAAACGGAAGCUAAUACCGCAUUCGCACAGAGAUCGCAUGGUCUCUGUGGAAAGACCGCCUUUGUGCGGUUGCAUCCGGAGGGGUCCGCGGCUGAUUAGCUAGUCGGUGGAGUAACGGCCUACCGAGGCGACGAUCAGUAGCCGGCCUGAGAGGGCGAUCGGCCACACUGGAACUGAGACACGGUCCAGACUCCUACGGGAGGCAGCAGUGGGGAAUAUUGGACAAUGGGCGCAAGCCUGAUCCAGCAACGCCGCGUGGAGGAUGAAGGCCUUCGGGUUGUAAACUCCUGUCAGGUGGAACGAAAGGCUUCAUCUAAUAAAUGAAGUGUAUGACGGUACCACCAGAGGAAGCCCCGGCUAACUCCGUGCCAGCAGCCGCGGUAAUACGGAGGGGGCAAGCGUUAUUCGGAAUUAUUGGGCGUAAAGGGCGCGUAGGCGGUCUUUCAAGUCAGUGGUGAAAUCCCUCGGCUCAACCGAGGAACUGCCUCUGAAACUGAAAGACUUGAGACCGGGAGAGGGUGGUGGAAUUCCCAGUGUAGCGGUGAAAUGCGUAGAUAU